rnacentral:rRNA from 1 species
AAGCUGAUACAGUAAAAGAUACGGCAGCGAACGAUAGGACGCGCAUAGACGCGAUGAACGAAGAGAUAGAUGACGGGUACGGAGAGAGUAGUAAAGCAGCGCGCGCUAUAAGGGCGACAGACGCAGCAUAUCAAUAAGCGGAGGAGAGAGAGACUAAGCAAGGAUUCCCCUAGUAACUGCGAGUGAAGCGGGAAAAGCUCAAAUUUAAAAUCUGGCGGUCUUCUGGCCGUCCGAGUUGUAGUCUGGAGAAGCGUUUUCCGCGUUGGCCCGUGUACAAGUUUCCUGGAACGGAGCGUCAUAGAGGGUGAGAAUCCCGUCUUUGACACGGACCCCAAUGCUUUGUGAUGCGCUCUCAAAGAGUCGAGUUGUUUGGGAAUGCAGCUCAAAAUGGGUGGUGAAUUCCAUCUAAAGCUAAAUAUUGGCGAGAGACCGAUAGCGAACAAGUACCGUGAGGGAAAGAUGAAAAGCACUUUGGAAAGAGAGUUAAACAGUACGUGAAAUUGUUGAAAGGGAAACGCUUGAAGUCAGUCGCGUCGUCCGGGACUCAGCCUUGCAUCCGCUUGGUGUACUUUCCGGUCGACGGGCCAGCAUCAGUUUUGACCGCGAGAUAAAGGCGGAGGGAAUGUGGCUCUUUCGGGAGUGUUAUAGCCCUUCGUCAGAUGUCGCGGUUGGGACUGAGGAACUCAGCACGCCUUUAUGGCCGGGGUUCGCCCACGUACGUGCUUAGGAUGCUGGCGUAAUGGCUUUAAACGACCCGUCUUGAAACACGGACCAAGGAGUCUAACAUGCCUGCGAGUGUUCGGGUGGAAAACCCGUGCGCGCAAUGAAAGUGAAAGUUGGGAUCCCUGUCGUGGGGUGCACCGACGCCCGGCCCAGACCUUUUGUGACGGCGCUGCGGUAGAGCAUGUAUGUUGGGACCCGAAAGAUGGUGAACUAUGCCUGAAUAGGGUGAAGCCAGAGGAAACUCUGGUGGAGGCUCGUAGCGAUUCCUGACGUGCAAAUCGAUCGUCAAAAUUUGGGUAUAGGGGCGAAAGACUAAUCGAAACCAUCUAGUAGCUGGUUCCUGCCGAAG